rnacentral:rRNA from 1 species
AUUGAACGCUGGCGGCAUGCUUUACACAUGCAAGUCGAACGGUAACAGGCCGCAAGGUGCUGACGAGUGGCGAACGGGUGAGUAAUGCAUCGGAACGUGCCCAGUCGUGGGGGAUAACGCAGCGAAAGCUGCGCUAUACCGCAUACGAUCUCUGGAUGAAAGCGGGGGACCGAAAGGCCUUGCGCGAUUGGAGCGGCCGAUGUCAGAUUAGGUAGUUGGUGGGGUAAAGGCCCAACAAGCCAACGAUCUGUAGCUGGUCUGAGAGGACGACCAGCAACACUGGGACUGAGACACGGCCCAGACUCCUACGGGAGGCAGCAGUGGGGAAUGUUGGACAAUGGGCGCAAGCCUGAUCCAGCAAUGCCGCGUGCAGGAAGAAGGCCUUCGGGUUGUAAACUGCUUUUGUACGGAACGAAACGGUCCUGGUUAAUACCCGGGGCUAAUGACGGUACCGUAAGAAUAAGCACCGGCUAACUACGUGCCAGCCGCCGCAGUAAAAC